UAGUGGCGAACGGGUGAGUAACACGUAGGUAACCUGCCCAUGUGCCCGGGAUAACUGCUGGAAACGGUAGCUAAAACCGGAUAGGUAUGAGGGAGGCAUCUUCCUCAUAUUAAAGCACCUUCGGGUGUGAACAUGGAUGGACCUGCGGCGCAUUAGCUGGUUGGUGAGGUAACGGCCCACCAAGGCGAUGAUGCGUAGCCGACCUGAGAGGGUGAACGGCCACAUUGGGACUGAGACACGGCCCAAACUCC
rnacentral:rRNA from 1 species